rnacentral:tRNA from 1 species
GCCUCAGUGGCGCAAUUGGAUAGCGCAUCGGUCUUCGGAACCGAGGGUUAUAGGUUCGAAUCCUACCUGAGGUA